UCGUGAUGUAAGCACUCGGGUCAUAACAAACACAAGGCCACAUGUGCUGUCGUGGUUGAUUCGCCUGUGUAGACGUUAUAUGAUUGUGAAUUGAAAUGUUAGUGUAAUAGUGUUCAUAGUAGUUCAACAUAUAAACGUGCCACGUAGAUGCUGUAUGCCUACUUUCCACAAUUUUCCGCCGUUUUACAAUUUAAGUCACCAUUUUAUCACCUGUUUUUCUUGUUUCUUUUCUUCUUACGUUUUUAACGUCUGUAGGCUGCAGAGCAGCGUACGAUGGUGAAGGGGGGGGGGGGGCAAUCGAAAUGCAGUAAAGGAAAAAAGAAGACUUUAUGCCUGCUUGUAGAGGCAAUUACACUGCUCGGGAAAGAGUCAGUACAUUCCAUUUCCCUCGUGAUGAAGAUGCAUGGAGAGAAUGGAUAAGAGCAGUUCACUGUGAUAAUUUCAUCCCUUCAGAUCACUCUGUGAUUUGUGAGCUGCAUUUCCAUGCACACGAAAUAGAAAGAAGUACAUCGUCAUAUGAUGCUAAGACUGGAAGAUUAAUUACACGCCUCUUGAUCGUCCACGUUUAAGGAAAGGUGCAAUACCAGCACUAUUGCCAGCAUGUCCUGAUUAUUUAUCUACACCAUAAGAAGGCAAUAUCUUUCUUUUCGUUGAAGGUAUUAUGUGAUAAAAUUAAUAGUAGCCAUUCGAAUGAGUGGACCUGUGUCAAUAAGCUGAGUGGUGUGUAUUUUCUUUUAAUUAGUGAAAUGCCAUUUUUGAGAGUUCUGUGGUAUGUUACAAUUAACGCAAGUCUCACUUUCA